GAGUUCCUAGUAAAGUGGCGGGAGCCGCAGCUAUGGAGCCGCAGGAGGAGAGAGAAACGCAGGUUGCUGCGUGGUUAAAAAAAAUAUUUGGAGAUCAUCCUAUUCCACAGUAUGAGGUGAACCCACGGACCACAGAGAUUUUACAUCACCUUUCAGAACGCAACAGGGUCCGGGACAGGGAUGUCUACCUGGUAAUAGAGGACUUGAAGCAGAAAGCAAGUGAAUACGAGUCAGAAGCCAAGUAUCUUCAAGACCUUCUCAUGGAGAGUGUGAAUUUUUCCCCCGCCAAUCUCUCUAGCACUGGUUCCAGGUAUCUGAAUGCUUUGGUUGACAGUGCGGUGGCCCUUGAAACAAAGGAUACCUCGCUAGCUAGGUAAUUCUUAUGACAAUUUUAAUUUCUGCAAUCAUAUCUGCUAUAAGGUCUUAAAGACUUUUUGUUCUCAGCAUAAUUCUAUAUGAAAAAUUGGCAAUAAAUACAAAGCACUGAAUUUAGUUACUUCAUGUCUUUGCCAGUGAGUAUAAUUAAUUUGG
rnacentral:sRNA from 1 species